GCGAACUGUCGGCUGUAUGCCUGGGUAAUACAGAGUGUGCGGGCGUUAAGGUGAUGUACGUGGCGGAAAGCGGUCGUAGGCGGCUUUUUAAGUCGGAUGUGAAAUCCCCGAGCUUAACGUGGGAAUGGCAGGCGAUACUGGGAAGCGAGAGUAUGGGAGAGGAUUGUAGAAUUCCAGGUGUAGCGGUGAAAUGCGUAGAGAUCUGGAGGAAUACCGAUGGCGAAGGCAGCCAUCUGGCCUAAUACUGACGCUGAGGUACGAAAGCAUGGGGAGCAAACAGGAUUAGAUACCCUGGUAGUC
rnacentral:rRNA from 1 species